rnacentral:snoRNA from 2 species
AAUUAAAGUGCUAAAGUGUCUAAUGAUGAGGACUCAUAGGGCAGAUUCUGAGGUGAGCACUGAACUCAUCACUGAUAAUUGUUUGAUGCGAUCUGAAGACACUUGAAAGUCU